rnacentral:rRNA from 1 species
UGGGGAAUAUUGGACAAUGGGCGCAAGCCUGAUCCAGCCAUGCCGCGUGUGUGAAGAAGGCCUUAUGGUUGUAAGGCACUUUAAGCGAGGAGGAGGCUACUUUAGUUAAUACCUAGAGAUAGUGGACGUUACUCGCAGAAUAAGCACCGGCUAACUCUGUGCCAGCAGCCGCGGUAAUACAGAGGGUGCAAGCGUUAAUCGGAUUUACUGGGCGUAAAGCGCGCGUAGGCGGCUAAUUAAGUCAAAUGUGAAAUCCCCGAGCUUAACUUGGGAAUUGCAUUCGAUACUGGUUAGCUAGANUGUGGGAGAGGAUGGUAGAAUUCCAGGUGUAGCGGUGAAAUGCGUAGAGAUCUGGAGGAAUACCGAUGGCGAAGGCAGCCAUCUGGCCUAACACUGACGCUGAGGUGCGAAAGCAUGGGGAGCAAACAGGAUUAGAUACCCUGGUAGUCCAUGCCGUAAAACGAUGUCUACUAGCCGUUGGGGCCUUUGAGGCUUUAGUGGCGCAGCUAACGCGAUAAGUAGA